UACGUAGGGGGCAAGCGUUGUCCGGAAUUAUUGGGCGUAAAGAGCGUGUAGGCGGCCAGGUAGGUCCGGUGUGAAAACUCGAGGCUUAACCUCGAGAUGUCAUCGGAAACCAUUUGGCUAGAGUCCGGAAGAGGAAAGUGGAAUUCCUGGUGUAGCGGUGAAAUGCGUAGAUAUCAAGAGGAACACCUGAGGUGAAGACGGGUUGCUAGGCUGACACUGACGCUGAGGCGCGAAAGCCAGGGGAGCAAACGGG
rnacentral:rRNA from 1 species